UACGUAGGGCGCAAGCGUUGUCCGGAAUUAUUGGGCGUAAAGAGCUUGUAGGCGGUUCGUCGCGUCUGCCGUGAAAUUUCGAGGCUCAACCUCGAACUUGCGGUGGGUACGGGCAGACUAGAGUGUGGUAGGGGAGACUGGAAUUCCUGGUGUAGCGGUGAAAUGCGCAGAUAUCAGGAGGAACACCGAUGGCGAAGGCAGGUCUCUGGGCCACUACUGACGCUGAGAAGCGAAAGCAUGGGGAGCGAACAGG
rnacentral:rRNA from 1 species